UACGUAGGGUGCGAGCGUUGUCCGGAAUUAUUGGGCGUAAAGGGCUCGUAGGCGGUUUGUCGCGUCGGGAGUGAAAACGCACAGCUUAACUGUGUGCUUGCUUUCGAUACGGGCAGACUAGAGGCAUGCAGGGGAGAACGGAAUUCCUGGUGUAGCGGUGAAAUGCGCAGAUAUCAGGAGGAACACCGGUGGCGAAGGCGGUUCUCUGGGCAUGUCCUGACGCUGAGGAGCGAAAGUGUGGGGAGCGAACAGG
rnacentral:rRNA from 1 species